rnacentral:rRNA from 1 species
CAGUCGCCGCGGGAAUACGAAGGGCGCAAGCGUUAAUCGGAAUUACUGGGCGUAAGGCGUGCGUAGGCGGUUUGUUAAGUCUGUUGUGAAAUCCCCGGGCUCAACCUGGGAAUGGCAAUGGAUACUGGCAAGCUAGAGUGUGUCAGAGGAUGGUGGAAUUCCCGGUGUAGCAGUGAAAUGCGUAGAGAUCGGAAGGAACAUCUGUGGCGAAGGCGACUAUCUGGGCCAACACUGACACUGAGGCACGAAAGCGUGGGGAGCAAACAGGAUUAGAUACCCGUGUAGUCCCUGUCUCUUAUAC